CCUCGAGCUCUGCGAUUGGACAGAAUGACCCACACACACCCAGGGGCGGGGCUUGAUGACCCGCGGGAUUUCCGCAGUCUCUCCGUGGACUCGGCCGUGUGCAGCAGUACUGAUUCUCUGCAUAAAUCCAGUAAGAGGAAAAGCAUCAAAUCCUCCAUCGGCCGUCUGUUCGGGAAAAAAGAGAAGGGCAGAGGGGGCGGGGCUCCGCGAGACUCCGCCUCACUAGGUAACAAAACACACCUGGACUUCUACCUAGAGUUCAAUUACCUGAUAUGGAAAUAUCUGAUCUGACUCUGUGAGUGUGUGUGUGUGUGUGUGUGUGUGUGUGUGUGUGUGAUAUGCAGCAUCAACUCCGUCUGAUGAUCUGGCUGCUGAUCCACUCAGCCUCAAACUGGGAACACUGGAGAAAGAGCGCCGCAGUAAAAAGAAGUGAGAUACACCCGUUCAUUCAGCCACGACUCACUGAUUCACCCACGACUCACUGAUUCACCCCUCGACUCACUGAUUCACCCUCGACUCACUGAUUUA
rnacentral:lncRNA from 1 species